rnacentral:snRNA from 1 species
GGUCAGCAAAUGCGUCUGG